rnacentral:rRNA from 1 species
AUUGAACGCUGGCGGCAUGCCUUACACAUGCAAGUCGAACGGCAGCACGGGAGCAAUCCUGGUGGCGAGUGGCGAACGGGUGAGUAAUAUAUCGGAACGUGCCCAGUCGUGGGGGAUAACGCAGCGAAAGCUGUGCUAAUACCACAUACGAUCUACGGAUGAAAGCGGGGGAUCGCAAGACCUCGCGCGAUUGGAGCGGCCGAUAUCAGAUUAGCUAGUUGGUGGGGUAAAGGCCCACCAAGGCGACGAUCUGUAGCUGGUCUGAGAGGACGACCAGCCACACUGGAACUGAGACACGGUCCAGACUCCUACGGGAGGCAGCAGUGGGGAAUUUUGGACAAUGGGCGCAAGCCUGAUCCAGCAAUGCCGCGUGCAGGAUGAAGGCCUUCGGGUUGUAACUGCUUUUGUACGGAACGAAACGGCCCUUUCUAAUACAGGGGGCUAAUGACGGUACCGUAAGAAUAAGCACCGGCUAACUACGUGCCAGCCGCCGCGGUAA